GGCCGGGGGCCGGUGGGCUCGGCGGGGUCCCCCCGGCCAUGUGGCCGUGCGGAGGGCGGCGGCAGCGCCGCCUCGGGGCCGCCGCGCUGCUCCUCUUCGUGGUGUGGCUGCUGCUGCGCAGGUUUAACUGGAGUGAGCUGACCCCUCUGGGGCUGUGGGGAAGGACCCUUGGCUUGCAGACAGAGAACUCCCAGUUCCUGCUGGAAGGAAUGCCUUUCCGCAUCUUUGGGGGUUCCAUGCACUAUUUCCGAGUGCCCAGGGAAUACUGGGAAGAUCGGAUGCUUAAAAUGAAAGCCUGUGGCUUAAACACCCUCACCACGUACGUCCCGUGGAACCUCCAUGAGCAUCAAAGAGGGAAGUUUGACUUCAGUCAAAACCUGGAUCUAGAGGCCUUCCUUUCCCUGGCAGCUAAAAAUGGGCUGUGGGUGAUUCUGCGUCCUGGACCUUACAUCUGCUCAGAAUGGGACCUUGGUGGUCUGCCCAGCUGGCUGCUGCAAGACCCAGAGAUGCAGCUGAGGACAACCUACAAGGGCUUCACGGAGGCCGUGGACGCCUAUUUCGAUCGCCUGAUGCGUGUUGUUGUCCCUCUCCAGUACAAGAGAGGAGGUCCCAUCAUUGCAGUGCAAGUGGAGAAUGAAUACGGUUCCUACGCCAAAGACCCCAACUACAUGACCUAUGUCAAAAUGGCCCUGCUGAAGAGAGGGAUUGUGGAACUGUUGAUGACCUCAGACAACAAGAAUGGGCUGUCAUUUGGCUUGGUGGAAGGAGCACUGGCCACUGUUAACUUUCAGAAACUGGAACCUGGGCUACUGAAAUAUCUGGACACAGUACAGAGAGAUCAGCCAAAGAUGGUGAUGGAGUACUGGACUGGGUGGUUUGAUAACUGGGGAGGCCCUCACUAUGUCUUUGAUGCAGAUGAAAUGGUGACCACCGUGGCCAGUGUCCUCAAAACAGGAGCAUCCAUCAACCUCUACAUGUUCCACGGAGGCACCAACUUUGGUUUCAUGAAUGGGGCUCUAGAAGCUGAUGAGUACAAGUCAGAUGUCACCAGUUAUGACUAUGAUGCUGUGCUGACAGAGGCUGGAGACUACACAUCCAAAUUCUUCAAGCUCAGACAACUCUUCAGCGUGAUCAUUGGCCAUCCUCUUCCUCUGCCUCCCAUGAUUGAAAGCAAGGCAUCCUAUGGUGCAAUCCUGUUGCAUCAGUACAUCUCUCUCUGGGAUGUGUUACCAUCUCUCUUACAGCCCAUUAAGUCAGAAUUUCCUGUUAACAUGGAGAAUCUGCAUCUAAACGACAGCACUGGGCAAUCCUAUGGGUAUGUGCUCUAUGAGACUGUCAUUUUUGGUGGUGGCCAACUGCACACAAGGAACCACGUCCGUGACAGAGCCCAGGUGUUUGUUAACACUGUGUAUGUGGGUGAGCUGGAUUACAACACAGUGGAGCUCUUCAUUCCUGAGGGACAGGGAUUCAGGCAGCUGAAGCUCCUGGUAGAGAACCGUGGGCGUGUCAAUUAUGGCCUGGCACUGAAUGAGCAGAGGAAAGGCUUAAUUGGUGACGUCUUCUUGAAUAAAACCCCCUUGAGGAACUUCAAGAUUUACAGUUUGGAGAUGAAACCUGCCUUCAUGAAAAGCCUGCAGCAAGUUUCUGGAUGGAGCUCAGUCCCAGAUUACUUUGUUGGUCCAGCGUUUUUCCGUGGAAGGCUGUGGAUAGAGCAACAGCCACAGGACACUUUCCUGAAGCUACAGGGCUGGGAAAAAGGAGUGGUGUUUGUCAACGGGCAGAACCUGGGCCGCUACUGGAAAAUUGGACCUCAGGAAACUCUCUACCUUCCUGGGCCCUGGUUAAAGAAAGGGGACAACGAGAUUGUCAUCUUCGAGGAGCGCACGGCGGGCCGGAUCAUCCAGUCCGUGGACAUCCCUUACUUGGGAAGGACCCAGUACGUGGACUGAGGAGAGCUGCUCUCCCAUGUUUGGUUCAUCCUGAACAUUCCUGGUUGCAUGUCUGGGGACAUGAUGGGCAUGCUAAUCUCCACUAGACCCAGGGUUUACAGACUGAAGGGAACUUGGGAAGCCAAUACAACAAGAGGAUUAAUCUGCUUGAGUGCAAAGAACUACUAUUUUAAUCCAGGAUAACAACCCCCGUUCCCAGCAGCAUCCAACACUUUCUAUCCACUUUCUUCAGCCAUUGCAUCUAUAGGAACGUUUUUGUAAAGGCUUCUGUGGCUGGGAACUAAAGAAUGCAACUUUUCCCCAAUGGUUCUGAUAUACAGAGGGAGAAAAUAACUUACAAAAAAAAUAUUUUCCUAUGAAACAUCAGGAAAUACACAGUGUCAUUAGUCCAAGGGGAGACUUCUGCACCGUGAAGCCAAUAAUCAAACCCAGAGCAUUUUAACAGUUCUACCUGUUUUAGGGCUACAAAUAACCAAGCCUGUUUCCAGGAUUAUGUUUUCCCUCAGUUCAAAGGUAAAAUUGUGCUUCAGACCUUUUUUUUUUUUUUUUUUGAAACAAUUGGGACAGCAGGGGGUGAUCAAAGGUUUGACAACAGCUGUGAAGGGGGAGGAAGUCUGGGGGUUUGUAAAGGGACAUGUUGACCUCAGGUUGUUCCUCAGCAGACACAGAGUCACCCAAGGCAGUAGCACCCAGGUCCCUCCUCUGCCCAGUCCUGUGUCUGUCACUGAGAAGCAAAACGUGAUUUCAUCAGAGAACACCCUUCCACCAACUCUGUCCUGGGUCCUUUGAUGUUACAGGACAGGGAAGAGGUGACUAAAGGUUUCCUUGACCUUCCCUCAAGCCAGGUGCUGGAGAAACAGCACUAAGCACAGGAUCCCCUUUCCAAGGGUGCUGCUCUAUCCAUCAGAAGGUGACUCUGGGAGCUGCUCCAGCGUGGCUUUUCACACCAGGAGCUCUGCAGGAGCAUGGAAAAGGGGCUGGGGCUGAAGGAUACAUUCCAGUCAAAUGGGAAAUGCACUAAAAUCACCUUUUAGCAUUCAGUCCCUAGUUUUAAGCAGUUAACUUUAUUUUUUGAGAGUGGAAAUUUGCCUCUAUGUGGGAGCACCCUUCAGAGAAUGCCACGCCUAAUGCUCACAUGAACCAAAUUAGGGCUAAACAGAACCAAGAGCUGGGUGAAUAUUAUGGUAUAGGUCCCCAACAAUCUCAUUAACUCCAUUUGCAAUUAUUUUAGUGUGGAUGAAUAGAGAACCACGUGCUGUAAACAUCAUCCAGGGAGGGUGGUGAACUGGUAAGGAUCAACAGCUCAGUGAUUGUGCCCCUCUCUCCCACUCUGGUGAGGCCCCCCAAGUGUUGCAUCUCUUCAGCUGGGGUUUGUGAGAAAGAUGGGGACAAACUUUUUAGCAGGGAUUGGACAAGGAGUGAUGGUUUUAAACUAAAAGAGGAUAGACUAGAUAUAAGGAAGACAUUUUUUACAGUGAGGGUGGUGCAACACUGGCACAGGUUGUCCAGAGAGGUGGGUAAUGCCCCAUCCCUGGGAAUAUUCAGGUUGGACAGGGCUCUGAGCAGCCUGGUCUAGUUGAAGGUGUCCCUGUCCAUGGCAGAGGGGUUUGAGCAGAUGACCUUUAAGUUCCUUUGCAGCUCAAACCCUCCUAUGAUUCCUAUGUGUCAGAGUGCCCUCCAAACCAUGAAACCAGUGAAGGAAAAGGGGAGGGAAUACAAAGAGAACAGUGAUACUUAUGGGUUUGUUUGAUACUUAUGGGUUUGUUCUAACCUGCCUUGCUUUCCCCCCUCUCCCCCCGUCUUGUGCAGCGUAAUAAACACUGAUUAAAGUAGGUUUAAAA